GCAGAAAUACCCAACUGAUUAUUGCGUCUCAUGGCGAUUGCAUUUUCAGCAUUGAAGAGUAUCCAUUGACUGCAGAAGGCUCCGCCCACUCCUCCUGAUCUCCAUGUGCCCCGCCCAGGGGCAGAGCCAUAUAGCCAUCAAUCCACCCUCUUUGAGUGACGGAGGCAUCCCGCUGCAUUUUGUUAUUGUAAAAACGAGUGCGAGUAAUACAGUAGACGGGGCCCGUGACAGGAGGAGCCACGCUGUGACCUGCUGCCCACCGCAACCUACACACAACCCCUCACAGGAGGAGAAACUCUCUGUUGAGCUCCAGGACGGGCAGACCCACGGGAGCCGGUGCUUGGCUAACACCAGCAAAUAGGAUGGAAUUAUUGUGUAAUGACAUGUGGGCUUUGCAGUCUGCAUAUUACACCACAGGACCAAAGGCCAGA